rnacentral:rRNA from 1 species
UUAAGCGACUAAGCGUACACGGUGGAUGCCCUGGCAGUCAGAGGCGAUGAAGGACGUGCUAAUCUGCGAUAAGCGUCGGUAAGGUGAUAUGAACCGUUAUAACCGGCGAUUUCCGAAUGGGGAAACCCAGUGUGAUUCGUCACACUAUCAUUAACUGAAUCCAUAGGUUAAUGAGGCGAACCGGGGGAACUGAAACAUCUAAGUACCCCGAGGAAAAGAAAUCAACCGAGAUUCCCCCAGUAGCGGCGAGCGAACGGGGAGCAGCCCAGAGCCUGAAUCAGUGUGUGUGUUAGUGGAAGCGUCUGGAAAGGCGUGCGAUACAGGGUGACAGCCCCGUACACAAAAAUGCACAUACUGUGAGCUCGAUGAGUAGGGCGGGACACGUGGUAUCCUGUCUGAAUAUGGGGGGACCAUCCUCCAAGGCUAAAUACUCCUGACUGACCGAUAGUGAACCAGUACCGUGAGGGAAAGGCGAAAAGAACCCCGGCGAGGGGAGUGAAAAAGAACCUGAAACCGUGUACGUACAAGCAGUGGGAGCACGCUUAGGCGUGUGACUGCGUACCUUUUGUAUAAUGGGUCAGCGACUUAUAUUCUGUAGCAAGGUUAACCGAAUAGGGGAGCCGAAGGGAAACCGAGUCUUAACUGGGCGUUAAGUUGCAGGGUAUAGACCCGAAACCCGGUGAUCUAGCCAUGGGCAGGUUGAAGGUUGGGUAACACUAACUGGAGGACCGAACCGACUAAUGUUGAAAAAUUAGCGGAUGACUUGUGGCUGGGGGUGAAAGGCCAAUCAAACCGGGAGAUAGCUGGUUCUCCCCGAAAGCUAUUUAGGUAGCGCCUCGUGAAUUCAUCUCCGGGGGUAGAGCACUGUUUCGGCAAGGGGGUCAUCCCGACUUACCAACCCGAUGCAAACUGCGGAUACCGGAGAAUGUUAUUACGGGAGACACACGGCGGGUGCUAACGUCCGUCGUGAAGAGGGAAACAACCCAGACCGCCAGCUAAGGUCCCAAAGUCAUGGUUAAGUGGGAAACGAUGUGGGAAGGCCCAGACAGCCAGGAUGUUGGCUUAGAAGCAGCCAUCAUUUAAAGAAAGCGUAAUAGCUCACUGGUCGAGUCGGCCUGCGCGGAAGAUGUAACGGGGCUAAACCAUGCACCGAAGCUGCGGCAGCGACGCUUAUGCGUUGUUGGGUAGGGGAGCGUUCUGUAAGCCUGUGAAGGUGUGCUGUGAGGUAUGCUGGAGGUAUCAGAAGUGCAAAUGCUGACAUAAGUAACGAUAAAGCGGGUGAAAAGCCCGCUCGCCGGAAGACCAAGGGUUCCUGUCCAACGUUAAUCGGGGCAGGGUGAGUCGACCCCUAAGGCGAGGCCGAAAGGCGUAGUCGAUGGGAAACAGGUUAAUAUUCCUGUACUUGGUGUUACUGCGAAGGGGGGACGGAGAAGGCUAUGUUGGCCGGGCGACGGUUGUCCCGGUUUAAGCGUGUAGGCUGGUUUUCCAGGCAAAUCCGGAAAAUCAAGGCCGAGGCGUGAUGACGAGGCACUACGGUGCUGAAGCAACAAAUGCCCUGCUUCCAGGAAAAGCCUCUAAGCAUCAGGUAACAUCAAAUCGUACCCCAAACCGACACAGGUGGUCAGGUAGAGAAUACCAAGGCGCUUGAGAGAACUCGGGUGAAGGAACUAGGCAAAAUGGUGCCGUAACUUCGGGAGAAGGCACGCUGAUACGUAGGUGAAGCGACUUGCUCGUGGAGCUGAAAUCAGUCGAAGAUACCAGCUGGCUGCAACUGUUUAUUAAAAACACAGCACUGUGCAAACACGAAAGUGGACGUAUACGGUGUGACGCCUGCCCGGUGCCGGAAGGUUAAUUGAUGGGGUUAGCGCAAGCGAAGCUCUUGAUCGAAGCCCCGGUAAACGGCGGCCGUAACUAUAACGGUCCUAAGGUAGCGAAAUUCCUUGUCGGGUAAGUUCCGACCUGCACGAAUGGCGUAAUGAUGGCCAGGCUGUCUCCACCCGAGACUCAGUGAAAUUGAACUCGCUGUGAAGAUGCAGUGUACCCGCGGCAAGACGGAAAGACCCCGUGAACCUUUACUAUAGCUUGACACUGAACAUUGAGCCUUGAUGUGUAGGAUAGGUGGGAGGCUUUGAAGUGUGGACGCCAGUCUGCAUGGAGCCGACCUUGAAAUACCACCCUUUAAUGUUUGAUGUUCUAACGUGGACCCGUGAUCCGGGUUGCGGACAGUGUCUGGUGGGUAGUUUGACUGGGGCGGUCUCCUCCUAAAGAGUAACGGAGGAGCACGAAGGUUGGCUAAUCCUGGUCGGACAUCAGGAGGUUAGUGCAAUGGCAUAAGCCAGCUUGACUGCGAGCGUGACGGCGCGAGCAGGUGCGAAAGCAGGUCAUAGUGAUCCGGUGGUUCUGAAUGGAAGGGCCAUCGCUCAACGGAUAAAAGGUACUCCGGGGAUAACAGGCUGAUACCGCCCAAGAGUUCAUAUCGACGGCGGUGUUUGGCACCUCGAUGUCGGCUCAUCACAUCCUGGGGCUGAAGUAGGUCCCAAGGGUAUGGCUGUUCGCCAUUUAAAGUGGUACGCGAGCUGGGUUUAGAACGUCGUGAGACAGUUCGGUCCCUAUCUGCCGUGGGCGCUGGAGAACUGAGGGGGGCUGCUCCUAGUACGAGAGGACCGGAGUGGACGCAUCACUGGUGUUCGGGUUGUCAUGCCAAUGGCACUGCCCGGUAGCUAAAUGCGGAAGAGAUAAGUGCUGAAAGCAUCUAAGCACGAAACUUGCCCCGAGAUGAGUUCUCCCUGACCCUUUAAGGGUCCUGAAGGAACGUUGAAGACGACGACGUUGAUAGGCCGGGUGUGUAAGCGCAGCGAUGCGUUGAGCUAACCGGUACUAAUGAACCGUGAGGCUUAACCUU